UACGAAGGGGGCUAGCGUUGUUCGGAAUUACUGGGCGUAAAGCGCACGUAGGCGGAUAUUUAAGUCAGGGGUGAAAUCCCAGAGCUCAACUCUGGAACUGCCUUUGAUACUGGGUAUCUUGAGUAUGGAAGAGGUAAGUGGAAUUGCGAGUGUAGAGGUGAAAUUCGUAGAUAUUCGCAGGAACACCAGUGGCGAAGGCGGCUUACUGGUCCAUAACUGAACGCUGAGGUGGCGAAAGCGUGGGGAGCAAACAGG
rnacentral:rRNA from 1 species